GUUUGAAAACAGGAGCGGGAGAUGGCGGAGCGCGUAUUCAACGCACCUGAGCAGCUCAUUCAGAUCAAUCCAGCUAACCAUCAUGGCCAAGAGAAGAGGAUGCACAAAGGACUGAAGUGAUUGGAUCUGUACAGAUUCUACUGCCAAGGGCUGCCAGCUGUAAGUGUAAGACUUGCACAAUAGAGUAAUCACAGGAGGUCAAGCCACUGGUCCAGUUCUACGCUUGGAAAGCU